rnacentral:rRNA from 1 species
GAGUUUGAUCCUGGCUCAGAUUGAACGCUGGCGGAAUGCUUUACACAUGCAAGUCGAGCGGCAGCGCGGGGCAACCUGGCGGCGAGCGGCGAACGGGUGAGUAAUGCAUCGGAACAUGUCCAUGUCGUGGGGGAUAGCCCGGCGAAAGCCGGAUUAAUACCGCAUACGCCCGAGAGGGGAAAGUGGGGACCGCAAGGCCUCACGCGAUUGGGUUGGCCGAUGUCCGAUUAGCUAGUUGGUGGGGUAAAGGCCUACCAAGGCGAUGAUCGGUAGCUGGUCUGAGAGGAUGAUCAGCCACACUGGGACUGAGACACGGCUCAGACUCCUACGGGAGGCAGCAGUGGGGAAUUUUGGACAAUGGGGAAACCCUGAUCCAGCCAUUCCGCGUGAGUGAAGAAGGCCUU